rnacentral:rRNA from 1 species
UAGGGAAUCUUCGGCAAUGGGGGGAACCCUGACCGAGCAACGCCGCGUGAGUGAAGAAGGUUUUCGGAUCGUAAAGCUCUGUUGUUAAGGAAGAACGAGUGUGAGAAUGGAAAGUUCAUGCUGUGACGGUACUUAACCAGAAAGGGACGGCUAACUACGUGCCAGCAGCCGCGGUAAUACGUAGGUCCCGAGCGUUGUCCGGAUUUAUUGGGCGUAAAGCGAGCGCAGGCGGUUAGAUAAGUCUGAAGUUAAAGGCAGUGGCUCAACCAUUGUAGGCUUUGGAAACUGGAAAACUUGAGUGCAGAAGAGGAAAGUGGAAUUCCAUGUGUAGCGGUGAAAUGCGCAGAGAUAUGGAGGAACACCAGUGGCGAAGGCGACUUUCUGGUCUGUAACUGACGCUGAUGUGCGAAAGCGUGGGGAUCAAACAGG